rnacentral:rRNA from 1 species
GGUGUCUAUAACCGGGGGGAUCCACCUCUUUCCAUUCCGAACAGAGAAGUUAAGCCCCUGAGUGCCGAUGGUACUGCUUUAUGGUGGGAGAGUAGGUUGGCGCCGAAU